AUCAAAUUAGCAAAAUUAAAUGCAAUUGAUUUAGGAUCAAUAGAUUAUAGGUGAAACCCCUUUAUUUGAUA
rnacentral:tRNA from 1 species